UGGGUUGGAUCUCUAGCAGCCACUAUCAGGUGGCUCCUGUGUAUUCCAACAGCUCUCAGUAGCACAACUAUCCAAAACUGAGGGCUUUAGAAAUCAUUCAUUUCACCCCUUCCUAUAUUCUAUUUUAUAAGAGACCAUAUUCAAGACCUGAUACUGGAUUAUUUUUGAGAUGAUUUCUUUUAUGUCUUCAUGUCCCAUUAGAAGUUAGAGAGCUUCUGCUAAUAACCUUGGAAACCUGGCACAGGAAACACUACUGACCAUUAGUCAGUUUCCCAGAGAGGUGCUAUGCUGCAGAGCAUGUUAAAGGGUACAGAUUUCCAUAUAGGGAUCCACCUAGCUCCCUCCUCACUCCUCAAACUACCUACCUACAAAGAGCAAUGAAAAGCUAUUCAGCAAGAACAUAAAUUCAUGUAGGAGAGUGUGUGGACAUGCUUGGUAAGAAACGACCAAAGUAUUCCUUCUGAAAAAUAUGUGAUGCUAAUGAGAAAGAGAAAAACAAAAGAAACAAUGUUGAGUGUAGUGCCUGCAGAGUGAUACUCGUUCUUCUGUGGACCUGAUGACACUCCCAAGUAGGGGCUCUUCUUAACUGUCUUAUGUGCGCAUAAAUAAAACUUUUUUCCACAUCCAAAUUCACGGACCUUCUGAAAAAUCUGUUUAUAGAUCUUAGGUUAAAAAGCCCUGAUUUAAAGCAGUAUUUCAAAUCUCUGGCAGUUUCAAAUUCAGCAAAAACGACAUGUCAGUUUCAAACAGAGAAUGAUGCCAAAACACAAUCACAUCAGUGAAUGAAAUCUCUGGAAUUUCAACAUUACCCUUGAAAUAGCUGAUAACCUUUGUUAAAGCACGAGAAACUCAAUUUAAUUCAACAAAAUAACUGAGCACUUCUAUAUGUAGUUAAAAAUUAGAAAGUUCAACAUUAACAAAUGUUGGGCCUUUAAAAUGCCUUAAUGUGUGAGAAAGAAAGCAGAUGUGUCAAAACACAUGGCCAGUCCUGGAACACACUGUCUACAACACUCCCAAGUG